rnacentral:lncRNA from 1 species
AGAUAAGGACUGUGCCAUUGGGAAUCAUUACAAUGAAGUGCCAAACUCACUACACCAUGUAAUUGCAGAAAAGACUUUCAGAUCCUGGAGUGCUUUCAAGUUUUGUAUAUAUGCAGUAGAUACAGAAUUGUAUUUGUGUGUGUGUUUUUUAAUACCUACUUGGUCCAAGGAAAGUUUAUACUCUUUUGUAAUACUGUGAUGGUCUCAAGUCUUGAUAAACUUUGCUUUGUACUACCUGUGUUCUGCUACAGUGAGAAGUCAUGAACUAAGAUCUCUGUCCUGCACCUCGGCUGAAUGACUGAACCUGGUCAUUUGCCACAGAACCCAUGAGAGCCAAGUAGCCAGUGAUCAAUGUGCUGAAUUAAUGGACUUGUCAAACUUUGGGGCAGAAUAAGAUUAAGUGCCAGCUUUGUACAGGUCUUUUUCUAUUGUUUUUGUUGUUGUUUAUUUUGUUAUUUGCAAAUUUGUACAAACAACUUAAAAUGGUUCUAAUUUCCAGAUAAAUGACUUUUGAUGUUAUUGUUAGGACUCAACAUCUUUUGGAAUAGAUACCGAAGUGUAAUGUUUUCUUAAAACUAGAGUCUACUUUGUUACAUUGUCUGCUUAUAAAUUUGUGAAAUCAGAGGUAUUUGGGGGCUGCAUUCAUAAUUUUCAUUUUGUAUUUCUAACUGGAUUAGUACUAAUUUUAUAUGUGCUCAGCUGGUUUGUACACUUUGCGAUGAUACCUGAUAAUGUUUCUGACUAAUCGUAAACCAUUGUAAUUAGUACUUGCACACUCAACGUUCCUGGCCCUUUGGGCAGGAAAGUUAUGUAUAGUUACAGACACUCUGUUUUGUGUGUAGAUUUAUGUGUGUAUUUUAAAGAAAUUUCACCUGCUUUUAUUACCCUGUGAGUUGUGUACAGCGCAUAGCACCAAGUCUUCAGAUAGAUGCCACGUGCUUACAGCCUUCUAGGGAAGCCUGCCAGAUGAUGCCCUGUGUCACGCUGUCAUAGUUCCCAUGGGAACUCUGUCUGUCGCUCAGGAAAGGGGAACUUUUAUCUAAGGUGAUGUUCUUUGUCUGACUGGGGUUCGCCUCCUACUACUCUGAGCUGUUGGCUUUUGUCACGAUGGAGGUGGCUUUGUGGCUCUGUCCUGAAGAAUCCUGUCACUUCUCGGUCCCCACCUCUGUUCUCUUUGGCUCUGAACAGUGUAAAUCUAAGGAGGAAGUUUACAAAUAGGACUUCAGUGAUUUAUGGAGUGCUCUGUGCGCCUAAGUACAGACAGUGGCAGGAUUAGUUAAAAAUGAAGGCAGUAAACUUGGAAACCAGCCAGCUAUAAAUGGACAUUUAUUUUGAAAUCCUUAGCUUAAGAAUUUGAGAAGUUUUUUCAGCCUUGAGCAGCCUAAUGUGUCUCAAACAUUUACGUUUUUUAUACAUUCUAUUUACCUGAAAUCCUGCCAGACCAGGAUAAUUGGUUUUACCUCUCAUUCCGUCCAUCGGUGUUUCCCAGUCUCCCACAGUUUGAGGAAUAGAUGUACCCCAGCACCCCUCUUUGCCUUUAUGAGAAGGCCUGGUUUGCAUGAGAAGACCAAAUUGCACUUCCAUGAGAAGACCAAAUUGUUUGUAGUGUUACUUAGCUCUCCCCUCGUUUGUUAGUGUGUGUUAACAAGAAUAAAAUGUCCCUGCUUUCACCCACCGUUGGCCAGCUUUGUCAUAGGCUUCCCACCAUAACUUUCACUAUUUUAAACACAUAUUGAGCCACUGCUCGUCUGACUACCUUUGUUUGGGCACUCCAAAACAGGACUUGUUUUAGAAAUGAACUCCUCCAAGUAGAGCCUCCUUCAAACAGAGUAGAAUUUCCUGGUGUCAAAGAACCCGGGUCUGUCUCCCUUUCCUCCUCCCUCUGCCAUUUCUUACCAUUGCGGAAAGAGAGAGCCUCCGUGUGUAAUCAUUCAGUAGAGGCAGCUACCGCCCUGGCAGUGGUCUACCUGCUGAAUGCCACUGAAUGACUAGGAGGUGUCUCUCCCUUCAGAAGCUGUCAAUUUCAGCAGCAACCCCUGUUUUCCUUGGUGUUAAGAUCCCAGUGUGAAUCAUGGGCAGUUGUCUGGGGCACAGUGAACUCCAGGAAAGGCUUCGUAUCUGUUUUGAAAACAAACAUCAAACGUGUGAGCUCCGAGGGUCCUUUUCUGGGAGAAUGUUCGCUUUCUGGUCUAUUAUUGUACAUGAUUGCUCUGUGAAAAGACUUCAUCUAUGCAGCCUUGUUUGAUUCAUUUCCUUUGGUGUGUUCUGUUGUUAAGAGCAAAUUGUAUUAUAGAGCUAUUUGGAUAUUUUAAAUAUAAAGAUGUAUUGUUUCCAUAAUAUAGAUGUAUGGAGUAUAUUUAGGUGAUAGAUGUACAACUUGGAAAGUUCUGCUUGGACAAACUGAGUCUAAGUUAAUUAGCAAAUAAUAUAUCCUGAUGAGCAGGAAGCCCUGAAACCUAACAACAGUAAGCGGAGAAAAUCACUUAAAAUGGAAACAGUUCCCCAAAGGUGUUCAAUUUGAACUUGUUCAACUGCUUAAUAUAUGGUCCCCCCCCCCCCCAAAAAAAAAACCUUGAAGUUCUUAGUUUUCAGCUCUCCAAGUUACUGAUUUUAAGUGAAGUUUCUCUGUGGUUUCAGCUGGGGAGUGAUUGUUCAGUAGAGUGUGCAUUGUGCUUUAUGCAAACCAAACAGCCUGGCCCUGUGGCCGGGGACAGACAGACAGCCCGUCAGGAUAGAGUCCCGCCCUUCGCCACCACAGCGGACUUGAGUAACAGUGCAGAUGCCUUGCUCCUGUUCCAUUGCUAUCUGAGAAGUGCCUGAUGAGGAUGGUAAACUUACAGACACAAGAACAAUCCUUACUGUGCGUUGUAUAAAGCCAUAAAUGUAC